AUCCUACUUUGAUGAGUUUGCAUAGUCCGUGUUUCACCUGAUUACUAUGAUUAUGCUGUAUGCUCUGAGCAGUAC